rnacentral:rRNA from 1 species
UACGUAGGGACCGAGCGUUGUCCGGAAUCAUUGGGCGUAAAGCGCGUGUAGGCGGCUGAGUAAGUCUGCUCUGAAAGCCCGGGGCUCAACCCCGGGAGGCGGGUGGAUACUGCUCAGCUCGAGUCCGGAAGAGGAGUGUGGAAUUCCUGGUGUAGCGGUGAAAUGCGCAGAUAUCAGGAGGAACACCAAUGGCGAAGGCAGCACUCUGGGACGGUACUGACGCUGAGACGCGAAAAGCGUGGGGAGCAAACAGG